rnacentral:rRNA from 1 species
GAACGCUGGCGGCGUGCUUAACACAUGCAAGUCGAACGGAUGAAAUAAGCUUGCUUAUUUUCGUUAGUGGCGCACGGGUGAGUAAUGUAUAGCUAACCUGCCCCUUUAGUGGGGGACAACAGUUGGAAACGACUGCUAAUACCCCAUAUUCCUUCUUAUCAUAAGGUAAGUUGGGAAAGAUUUAUUGCUAAAGGAUGGGGCUUUAUGGUAUCAGCUAGUUGGUGGGGUAACGGCCUACCAAGGCUAUGACGCCUACCUGGUCUGAGAGGAUGAUCAGGCACACUGGAACUGAGACACGGUCCAGACUCCUACGGGAGGCAGCAGUGGGGAAUAUUGCACAAUGGAGGAAACUCUGAUGCAGCAACGCCGCGUGGAGGAUGACGCAUUUCGGUGUGUAAACUCCUUUUAUAAGGGAAGAUAAUGACGGUACCUUAUGAAUAAGCACCGGCUAACUCCGUGCCAGCAGCCGCGGUAAUACGGAGGUGCAAGCGUUACUCGGAAUCACUGGGCGUAAAGGAUGCGUAGG